GUGGUGUCGCUGGUCCCCAUGUCGUAGGACAUUGCGGGUAAAAAUGGAAAUGAUGAAAAGCAUUGUUAAUGGUUAGUAAAGAAAGUACUAACACAUGCAAAGAGGUUCUCUCUGCGGUCUCUCAUAAUGACGCGUAAUGACGCGUAAUGACCGAACGCCAAAGCCGAAGUCUCUGAACUGGCACAUCUAUAUACUGUAUGGUUAGUGCAUACACCAAAUUCUGUUUUUAUACGGUAGAUUGGGUCCUGAAAAACCUGUGUAAAAAACCGUGCAAAAAAAGGCAUUGAUCGUAUGCAAUAAUAGGGAAAAAAUUUGAUAACGUUGGAACAAUGAAAAACAAUGAAGUGCAAAAUAAAGUUCGCGCCUAGAUAUUUUUCAAGUCGUAAUUCGUAAAAAAAAAGAAAAAACAACAGACACAAUAAAAAAUGAAGAGACCAGCAAUUGGUGGUAAUAAGUAAACAUUUGUACAUGGCAUAGAUGGAAAAUAUCGCUAUAUUUAAUUGGCAUGAUGGUAAUUCGGAUUUUUGGGGGGUCCCGAAAUAAUUCCGUUAAUGUCGACCGGGACAGAUCCAACUGCGGCUCUAGUAAUUUUUUUUUCUGCAACCAAAGCGCACAAAAGCGGAUAAAACUGGGAAAUCUUCUGGAGAUUGCUGGAAUUCCAAAAAGAGCAGCAGAAGUAACAGGAUGAGCACCAGGAAACAAAGCGGGAGAUACUACAGUAAAUUGCGAGCAGCCAAGGCCAAACCGACUUCCAGACCGAGCUGCUGCAGUUUUUAAAGGAGUUCAAAGGGUAACGUUUAUUGUACAUGUAUUGAUUGUUUUAAUAUAGCAAAUAAAAUAGCUAAUAUACUA